GCUCUCGCGAGACUUGGCGGGCGGAGGGGAAGGGCCGCGCCCGGGAUCAUGGCGGGUUCAUUACUGUCCCCUCGAGGGGAAGGCACCAAAAGCUCUCAAAAGCCCUAAAACUCCAGCUGCACCCACGGAGAAUGGAAAUAACUGCAGAGUGCCCCUCCUCUGCCGGGGCCACAUCCCGGGAGUGAGGGAGGAGUCACACGAAGCCCUUUGAUGUUCUCACAUUUGGGAUUCAAACAGCUCCGGUCGUGUGGAGCAAGAUCUGGAGCCAUCCUUGCCCGUGGAAAGGCCUCGUUCCUCCCAGGACAGGGUGACCCAAAGGAGCUCGGAGAUCCUCUGAACGAAAACCAGGAGCAGUUUUUCAUCUGGGCACAACCGUGCAGGAGUGACAGAGUUCAUCAAAGGUUACUAAUUACCAUGUACAUUUUGAGGUCAUCUGGCUGUCUGGGCAGACUUGGGUGGGUGGAAUCAUGGGAUCAGUAAGAUUGGAAAAGACUUCCAAGAUCAAGGCCAACCUUCCACCAAAUACCCCCAUGCCCUCUAAACUGUGUCACAAGUGAUGAGUGACCUACUCAUUGUUUGAACUCUUCGAGGGGCUGUGACUCCACCACUUCCCCAGGGAGGCUGUUUCCAAGAGUCUCAAGGAUGGAGGAGUGUGAAGAGCUCCUGGCUGGGAGCACAGAGUCGUGCUCUGCCAAAUGAGUUUGUCAGCCCUGAGCUCAGGAUGUUCCUCAGCGUUUGAGCCCUGCCUGCUGGGCAAAGAGGCACAGAGAGAACCCUUCCAGCCCUGGAAAACUCAGCCUUAGCUGGGGGGGUCACAGGCUGAGCACACAGCCAGGUCAUGCAGGACAGGUCACCUUGCACCAUCCUGAGCUGCCUCAGGGCUGGACUGGGGCUAGACAGGAGCUGGACAAGGAAGAGGAAGGGAAAGAAUGAUUCUGUGGGGGAAGCUCUGCAAAUAUGUGCUUCCCUUUGCUGAUAAAGGAGGGUGUGAGGCUCUGAGAGGAGCCACCUUGUUUGUCUGCUCUCACACCCUGGCAGCAGCACUCCCUUAUCUCCAGCACACGGGCACGUUCAGCUCUGCAGCCAUUCCCUAACCCACCACUCCGGGCUGCUCCUCGUGUUCAUUCCCUUCCUCCCUCUUCUAACAGGAUUAAUUUUUUUUUUU